rnacentral:rRNA from 1 species
GACGAACGCUGGCGGCGUGCUUAACACAUGCAAGUCGAACGGAGUGGCGAACGGGUGAGUAACACGUGGGUGACCUGCCCUGCACUUCGGGAUAAGCCUGGGAAACUGGGUCUAAUACCGGAUAGUGUGGGAUGGGCGCGCGGCCUAUCAGCUUGUUGGUGGGGUAAUGGCCUACCAAGGCGGCGACGGGUAGCCGGCCUGAGAGGGUGGACGGCCACAUUGGGGCUUGGGCGCGGCGCAGACUGCUACGGGAGUCAGCAGUGGGGAAUAUGGCACAACGGGCGGAAGCCUGUUGCAGCGACCCCGCGUGGGGGAUGACGCCCUUCGGGGUGAAAACUCCUUUCACCAUCGACGCGGUAGAUGCAGAAGAAGCACCGGCUAACUCCGUGCCAGCAGCCGCGGUAAUUC